rnacentral:rRNA from 1 species
AGUGAACGCUGGCGGUAGGCCUAACACAUGCAAGUCGAACGGCAGCACAGUAAGAGCUUGCUCUUACGGGUGGCGAGUGGCGGACGGGUGAGGAAUACAGCGGAAUCUACUUUUUCGUGGGGGAUAACGUAGGGAAACUUACGCUAAUACCGCAUACGACCUACGGGUGAAAGCAGGGGAUCUUCGGACCUUGCGCGAUUGAAUGAGCCGAUGUCGGAUUAGCUAGUUGGCGGGGUAAAGGCCCACCAAGGCGACGAUCCUUAGCUGGUCUGAGAGGAUGAUCCGGUACACUGGAUCUGCGACACGGACGAGCUUCCCAAGGGCGCCAGCGGUGCGGACUAUUGGCCCAUGGGCGCAGGCGUGAUCCAGCAAUACCGCGUGGCUGCACAUGGGCUUCCGGUUCUAAAGCGUUUUUGUUGUGACCGAAAAGCCGCCCGUUAAUCCCCCGCUGUUCUGACGGUCCCCAACGAAUAAGCACCGGCUCACUUCGUG